rnacentral:rRNA from 1 species
AUGAACGCUGGCGGCGUGCCUAAUACAUGCAAGUCGAGCGAACAGAUGAGGAGCUUGCUCCUCUGACGUUAGCGGCGGACGGGUGAGUAACACGUGGAUAACCUACCUAUAAGACUGGGAUAACUUCGGGAAACCGGAGCUAAUACCGGAUAAUAUAUUGAACCGCAUGGUUCAAUAGUGAAAGACGGUUUUGCUGUCACUUAUAGAUGGAUCCGCGCCGCAUUAGCUAGUUGGUAAGGUAACGGCUUACCAAGGCAACGAUGCGUAGCCGACCUGAGAGGGUGAUCGGCCACACUGGAACUGAGACACGGUCCAGACUCCUACGGGAGGCAGCAGUAGGGAAUCUUCCGCAAUGGGCGAAAGCCUGACGGAGCAACGCCGCGUGAGUGAUGAAGGUCUUCGGAUCGUAAAACUCUGUUAUUAGGGAAGAACAAAUGUGUAAGUAACUAUGCACGCCUUGACGGUACCUAAUCAGAAAGCCACGGCUAACUACGUG